rnacentral:rRNA from 1 species
GAUGAACGCUAGCUACAGGCUUAACACAUGCAAGUCGAGGGGCAGCAUAGUCUUAGCUUGCUAAGGCCGAUGGCGACCGGCGCACGGGUGAGUAACGCGUAUCCAACCUGCCUUACACUCUUGGACAGCCUUCUGAAAGGGAGAUUAAUACAAGAUGUUAUCAUGAGUAAGCAUUUUCGCAUGAUUAAAGGUUUACCGGUGUAAGAUGGGGAUGCGUUCCAUUAGAUAGUAGGCGGGGUAACGGCCCACCUAGUCUUCGAUGGAUAGGGGUUCUGAGAGGAAGGUCCCCCACAUUGGAACUGAGACACGGUCCAAACUCCUACGGGAGGCAGCAGUGAGGAAUAUUGGUCAAUGGACGAGAGUCUGAACCAGCCAAGUAGCGUGAAGGAUGAAGGUUCUAUGGAUUGUAAACUUCUUUUAUACGGGAAUAAACGAAUCCACGUGUGGAUUUUUGCAUGUACCGUAUGAAUAAGGAUCGGCUAACUCCGUGCCAGCAGCCGCGGUAAUACGGAGGAUCCGAGCGUUAUCCGGAUUUAUUGGGUUUAAAGGGAGCGUAGAUGGGUUGUUAAGUCAGUUGUGAAAGUUUGCGGCUCAACCGUAAAAUUGCAAUUGAUACUGGCAGUCUUGAGUACAGUUGAGGUAGGCGGAAUUCGUGGUGUAGCGGUGAAAUGCUUAGAUAUCACGAAGAACUCCGAUUGCGAAGGCAGCUUACUAACCUGUAACUGACAUUGAUGCUCGAAAGUGUGGGUAUCAAACAGGAUUAGAUACCCUGGUAGUCCACACGGUAAACGAUGAAUACUCGCUGUAGGCGAUAUACAGUCUGCGGCCAAGCGAAAGCAUUAAGUAUUCCACCUGGGGAGUACGCCGGCAACGGUGAAAUUCAAAGGAAUUGACGGGGGCCCGCACAAGCGGAGGAACAUGUGGUUUAAUUCGAUGAUACGCGAGGAACCUUACCCGGGCUUAAAUUGCAACCGAAUAUGGCGGAAACGCUAUAGCUAGCAAUAGCGGUUGUGAAGGUGCUGCAUGGUUGUCGUCAGCUCGUGCCGUGAGGUGUCGGCUUAAGUGCCAUAACGAGCGCAACCCUUGCCGAUAGUUACUAACAGGUUAUGCUGAGGACUCUGUCGGGACUGCCAUCGUAAGAUGUGAGGAAGGUGGGGAUGACGUCAAAUCAGCACGGCCCUUACGUCCGGGGCUACACACGUGUUACAAUGGGGGGUACAGAGGGCUGCUACCACGCAAGUGGAUGCCAAUCCCAAAAACCUCUCUCAGUUCGGAUUGAAGUCUGCAACCCGACUUCAUGAAGCUGGAUUCGCUAGUAAUCGCGCAUCAGCCACGGCGCGGUGAAUACGUUCCCGGGCCU